rnacentral:rRNA from 1 species
UGAGUACGAGCUGCUACGGCAGCGAAGUGGGUGAUGUCAAGCUUCCAAGAAAAGCCCUAUACCCGUUAAGGCAUGAUGGCCUGUACCCGAAACCGACACAGGUGGGGUGGUGGAGAAUACCGAGGGGCGCGAGGUAACUCUCUCUAAGGAACUCGGCAAAAUGGCCCCGUAACUUCGGGAGAAGGGGUGCCACCGCAAGGUGGUCGCAGUGAAGAGGCCCAGGCGACUGUUUACCAAAAACACAGGUCUCCGCUAAGUCGCAAGACGAUGUAUGGGGGCUGACGCCUGCCCAGUGCCGGAAGGUUAAGGAAGCUGGUCAGCGCAAGCGAAGCUGGCGACUGAAGCCCCGGUGAACGGCGGCCGUAACUAUAACGGUCCUAAGGUAGCGAAAUUCCUUGUCGGGUAAGUUCCGACCCGCACGAAAGGCGUAACGAUCUGGGCGCUGUCUCGGAGAGAGGCUCGGCGAAAUAGAAUUGUCUGUGGAGAUGCGGACUACGUGCACCCGGACAGAAAGACCCUAUGAAGCUUUACUGUAGCUUGGUAUUGUGCCCGGGCUCUGAAUGCGCAGGAUAGGCGGGAGGCUUUGAUCCAUUGCUUGUGGGUGAUGGUGAGCCACUGGUGAGAUACCACUCUUUCAGAGCUAGGGUUCUAACGGUCACCCGUUAUCCGGGGACCGGACAGUAUCAGGUGGGCAGUCUGACUGGGGCGGUCGCCUCCUAAAAGGUAACGGAGGCGCGCAAAGGUUCCCUCAGGCUGGUUGGAAAUCAGCCGACGAGUGUAAAGGCAGAAGGGAGCUUGACUGUGAGACCUACAAGUCGAACAGGGACGAAAGUCGGCCUUAGUGAUCCGACGGUUCUGAGUGGAAGGGCCGUCGCUCAACGGAUAAAAGUUACUCUAGGAUAACAGGCUGAUCUCCCCCAAGAGUUCACAUCGACGGGGAGGUUUGGCACCUCGAUGUCGGCUCAUCGCAACCUGGGGCUGAAGUCGGUCCCAAGGGUUGGGCUGUUCGCCCAUUAAAGCGGUACGCGAGCUGGGUUCAGAACGUCGUGAGACAGUUCGGUCCAUAUCCGGUGCACGCGCAGGAACAUUGAGAGGAUUUCUCCCUAGUACGAGAGGACCGGGAGGAACGCACCUCUGGUGUACCAGUUAUCGUGCCAACGGUAAACGCUGGGUAGCCAUGUGCGGAGUGGAUAACCGCUGAAAGCAUCUAAGUGGGAAGCCCACCUCAAGAUGAGUGUUCCCAUGGCAUAAGCCAGUAAGGUCACGGGAAGAACACCCGUUGAUAGGCUCUACGUGGAAGCGUGGCAACACGUGAAGCGGAGGAGUACUAAUAGACCGAGGGCUUGACC